rnacentral:lncRNA from 1 species
GUCAUACAAGCUAUGGCUCAAGAUAAUUGGCAUGAAUAAGACUCCACAUUUCUCACAACUGUAUCUCAUUAUCCGUAAUCGGAUCAUGAGUAACUUCAACCCAGUUAGUACAUAACAUAACAUCUUCAACAAGCGAGCAAUUCGUACCUGCAUGAUUAGUCAUUUUGUUGGAAAAAAAUUGGAUUGAAACUUUGAGAGAAAGAUAAGAAUGUGGUUGAAACUAGUUGACAAAAUAUGAAAUUGUUGUGUAAGGUAGAAGAUAAUGAGAAGGUAUUUAUAGAAAAGUAAAAUCAAUUUCUUUUUAAUUUUUCAAAUUUUUUUUCUGGAUUUUUAUUAAGUUUUUACAUUUUUUAAAAUUUUUUAUUCACAUAAUUAAUCUCUGCCGUUGGAUUAAAAAAAAAUUGAAUUCCAACACUCCAAAUUAUGCCAUGUGGCACAAUGGUAAGAUUUCAGAAUUUUAAACUGUUUUUUUUUUUAAAUUUAUAAAGCCGAAUAACGUGGACCAUUGAUCUCAGAUCUAACAACUGACAGUAAUGACAGUUUGAAUUUUUUUUUUACAGUUGGAAAUCCAACGAUCCACAUAUAGUAACUGCUGAAAUCCAACAGA